GACGAACGCUGGCGGCGUGCCUAAUACAUGCAAGUCGAACGAGAGCGACCGGUGCUUGCACUGGUCAAUCUAGUGGCGAACGGGUGAGUAACACGUGGGUAACCUGCCCAUCAGAGGGGGAUAACAUCCGGAAACGGAUGCUAAAACCGCAUAGGUCUUCGAACUGCAUGGUUUGAAGAGGAAAAGAGGCGCAAGCUUCUGCUGAUGGAUGGACCCGCGGUGCAUUAGCUAGUUGGUGAGGUAACGGCUCACCAAGGCCGUGAUGCAUAGCCGACCUGAGAGGGUGAUCGGCCACAUUGGGACUGAGACACGGCCCAAACUCCUACGGGAGGCAGCAGUAGGGAAUCUUCCGCAAUGGACGCAAGUCUGACGGAGCAACGCCGCGUGAGUGAAGAAGGUUUUCGGAUCGUAAAACUCUGUUGUUAGAGAAGAACAAGUGCUAGAGUAACUGUUAGCGCCUUGACGGUAUCUAACCAGAAAGCCACGGCUAACUACGUGCCAGCAGCCGCGGUAAUACGUAGGUGGCAAGCGUUGUCCGGAUUUAUUGGGCGUAAAGCGAGCGCAGGCGGUUCCUUAAGUCUGAUGUGAAAGCCCCCGGCUCAACCGGGGAGGGUCAUUGGAAACUGGGGAACUUGAGUGCAGAAGAGGAGAGUGGAAUUCCAUGUGUAGCGGUGAAAUGCGUAGAUAUAUGGAGGAACACCAGUGGCGAAGGCGACUCUCUGGUCUGUAACUGACGCUGAAGGCUCGAAAGCGUGGGUAGCAAACAGG
rnacentral:rRNA from 1 species